rnacentral:ncRNA from 2 species
UGACCCUGUGCGGGAGAGUCCUCCGAAUGAGCUCGACGGAGGCGCCGAAGGAGCAAAUCCUCCCCGGAAUCUCUCAGGCAUACGUACCGCACGCGACGA